ACACGGCCCAACUACGUGCCAGCAGCCGCGGUAAUACGUAGGGUGCGAGCGUUGUCCGGAAUUACUGGGCGUAAAGAGCUCGUAGGCGGUUUGUCGCGUCGUCUGUGAAAUCUGCAACUCAAUUGCAGGCGUGCAGGCGAUACGGGCAGACUUGAGUACUACAGGGGAGACUGGAAUUCCUGGUGUAGCGGUGAAAUGCGCAGAUAUCAGGAGGAACACCGGUGGCGAAGGCGGGUCUCUGGGUAGUAACUGACGCUGAGGAGCGAAAGCGUGGGGAGCGAACAGGAUUAGAUACCCUGGUAGUCCACGCCGUAAACGGUGGGUACUAGGUGUGGGGCUCAUUUCACGAGUUCCGUGCCGGCUAACGCAUUAAGUACCCCGCCUGGGGAGUACGGCCGCAAGGCUAAAACUCAAGGGAAUUGACGGGGGCCCGCACAAGCGGCGGAGCAUGUGGAUUAAUUCGAUGCAACGCGAAGAACCUUACCUGGGUUUGACAUACACCAGAAAGCCGUAGAGAUACGGCCCCCCUUUGUGGUUGGUGUACAGGUGGUGCAUGGCUGUCGUCAGCUCGUGUCGUGAGAUGUUGGGUUAAGUCCCGCAACGAGCGCAACCCUUGUCCUGUAUUGCCAGCGGGUUAUGCCGGGGACUUGCAGGAGACUGCCGGGGUCAACUCGGAGGAAGGUGGGGAUGACGUCAAGUCAUCAUGCCCCUUAUGUCCAGGGCUUCACACAUGCUACAAUGGCGCGUACAGAGGGCUGCGAGACCGUGAGGUGGAGCGAAUCCCUUAAAGCGCGUCUCAGUUCGGAUUGGGGUCUGCAACUCGACCCCAUGAAGUCGGAGUCGCUAGUAAUCGCAGAUCAGCAACGCUGCGGUGAAUACGUUCCCGGGCCUUGUACACACCGCCCGUCACGUCAUGAAAGUCGGUAACACCCGAAGCCGGUGGCCUAACCCUUGUGGAGGGAGCUGUCGAAGGUGGGAUCGGCGAUUGGGACGAAGUCGUAACAAGGUAGCCGUACCGGAAGGUGCGGCUGGAUCACCUCCUUAAUC
rnacentral:rRNA from 1 species